GUACAGUGCAAUACCGUCGACAUUCAUUUAGCAAGAGUGAUAAUCAUGUUUAAAAAUAAUGUGGUGUGCAUACUGGGAAGCCAUAUGAGUGAGAGUCCUGGCAGCAAGCACACUGUCAGGAAUCUUAACUGCGAUGCCAGACGGGACUGUGAUAGAAAACAUAUAACUAUGUUCUAUGCCAGCCCCCUCCUCACAGUUUACAUUGGGCAGCAAGCUUUGAACCAGCGGUACAUGCGCU